AUGCUGUGUUCCCCAGCACUGGUGGCAGGUUAAAUACAUCUCUAAUCAUGGUAAACUGUGAGAAAUGUUAACUUCUAAAAAGAGUCAAUUUCAUUAUUGCCUGAUGCUUUACUCUGAACUGGUGCACCUGCAGUGCUGGGAAACAGUACCCAAAACUGAUACAAAUGGCCUGGCUGAACUGGAGUAGCAGGCUUAAAAACUCCACCCAGCUAGCAUCACCUGUGUUUCAUUAGGAUUCGUUUUGGAGAGGCCUGGAGCCAGCCUCUAAAACCAGCAGCUUUAGCUUCAGAAGAGUUUGGUGCCCAGCUAUGGGAGAGGCUGGAAGCUGAGUUUUGGUGAAUUUUCUUCUGUUGAUUAAUUUGCUCCACGGGCAGUCCUGCCAGGCUGCGGUGCAGGAUCCGGCCUUGGCGAGGGGCUCGUUGCCGGCUUCAGCUGCUCUCUCUAAUUGGGAUCACACUGAUGGGUUGCAGAAAUGAUGCUCCCAAUAGGCCGGAACGAGCUUUCCUAAGAAAAGCUGGAAUCACGUCUCUCAGCAUGGUAGUCUGGCUGAUGUGAAAUAAAAGCCUAAUUUGGGAAACCCGAGCUCUCAGCUCGACGAUGUCUCCGACAGCGAGCGCUGCACUUACUCUUUUAUGAAAGCCUUGGCUGGGAAAAGCAUCUGGGAUCCAACUUCCCCCAAGUGUGUGUGAUCGCCGCUGGAUCGCCAGCACUUUGCCAGUUGCAAAAUCCAGGCCACACCAUGCGAGAGCCUGAACAAUCUGAUCUCAUUUGGAGACAAGGCGGUUUGGGGAGGAAUGCGCUGCCACUUGGUUUUAUGCAGAGGCAAGGGGCUGCCUUCUUCCAGCAGCUUCCACAAACACUAGGACAGAGACGAAAAGAUCUGGAGCUAUUUAAUUUGCUGUUCCAUCCAAGAUGGGGAAGAAAAAACCCUAAGUGUUCUUCUGUGAGGGGAAGCACAGUGCAGGUGUUUCACUGACAAGAUCUGCUCAGCAUCACCUUGCCUCCUCCGCAUCCUCCUCUCUGGACCACAGGGAGCUCAGAGUGACAACGGGCUGGAUGGUGACGCGCAGGGGAAAGCCAACCACGCUCAUCUUUCUUGGCCAAGAAGCCCACUAAGGUCAUCAGAUGAAACUCGAACCCUGUGGAAAGCAAACGUCCCUUGGAGUCUGAGACAGUACAAUUAUGCAAAGACAAGUCAUGGAAAAAAAGGAUUGAGGUUCCUCACACGAAAAGAGCAGAGUUGUCAUGCCGAGGGACUGACGCAUGCCACAUCUGAGGCAGGAUGCCCUCACGUUGCUGGUUUCUACGAUUUUCUGCUGGGAUCCUGCUUGUUGGCUCCCAUCUACCUUGAGCUUCCCCUGCUGUUGCCUGUCUUGUCGAGCACAAAGCAGUUCCAUCGGGUGCCCUUCAGCAAGAGGUGGAUCCUCCUCUGAGGGAUUUUAGCAUCUUCAAUCAGCAGAAGCUUGGAGGAGAAGAGGCACAGGGAGGCAGUGCCGUGUCAGCCAGCAGGUCAGCGAUGCAGCCGGGCACGCCGCUCAGGUCUCAUCUCCCCUCCCGUGCUGUCUUCACAGGGCAGCAGGGCCACCGAUAAAACCAAUUUGGGAAAUUAAGCUGUUAAAUAUAAAUGUGAUUUGGCUUUAACGGCAGUGGAAAGCUGGGGAACGGGUCAGGUCUGAGAGGACUGUGUGCAGCUCCGUUUGGAAAUAAAUUGUUUCUCUGUAACGGAAAUGAUGGGAGAUUGCAAAUAGCGAAAAAAAACAAACCCACAAACAUUAAACCCACCAAAAAUAUUACAGCAAAACCCUGUACGAGCACACACUGAGCCUGCUGGUUUGCCUUUUCAUGCAGGCUGUGCUUUAUGCAAAUAAAACUUUAAAAAAAAAAAAAAAAGGCAGCAAAUCACCUCGGAGAGAAUGAGCAACUAAUGCACAUUGAAUAUAAAAAUCCACAUGAGUUUUUUUUUCAGUUUCAGAAGUUAGCAAAGGUCAUUGAAUCCUUUUAAAAUUAAUUCCCUUUUUAAAAACCCCAAUUCUCCUGGAUGCCAUCGAAGUGAUUCUUCCCAAUGACCGCAGAUACAAUCUGGGAGCCAAAUGCCGUACUCUGCAUCUGUCCGAGCUGCAAAUCACUGGCUGAGGAGCUUGUUCUUGCUCCCUCCCCGCACUUAUUGCUUGUGUUUCGUGGGGCUGGCUCCUUCCCCGUUAUCUUUGGUAAGAACGGCUCUGAGCGAAUAGCACGGAUCCCGUCCCCAGCUUAAUUGCUGAGCAAAACGUAUCUUUCUUAAAUAUGGGGUGGAAAACAGAUUUUUGUUCCCCUUCCAAAUCAAUGCCUGUAAAUGCACCUUCUCCUCCCCCCGCCGCUGUCUUUGGACCAAGUGGUUUGUUUGGCUGCAGGUUCCUCUGUUCUGCAGGAUGAGCCCUUUCUGCAGAAAGCAAAGCCAUGGCCUCUCGCUGCUGGAUGGCAAUGCCCCCUGCACACAUCUCUGUCCCCUUGCUGGGCAGACUGCCCCACAGUUCUUCUUGUCACCCGGACAGGGGGUGGAAGCAAGGGCAGGGUAUAUCUGAGGGUUAAAAAGUACAUCUCCCCCCCCAAAUCAGGUGGUUUCUUUUUCUGCUGACUUUUGUUCCCUUUGAGUGCGCUGAUUUUCAAGCUUUUCUGCAUAGCCCAGAGGGCUGAUUGCAUUUGGGAUUCUUGUGUGAUCAGGUGAGUCCAGGAGCUGGUGUUUUAAGGAAGACAACAAAUAUUGUGAGAGUCAUGAGAGCAGGGGCAGGCGUUGGUUUAGAUCUCUUCCCAGCGAAAUCGAUACAAAUUUCCAUAUGAAAAGAGAGAAGCCACUGCUGAGAGCUUUGUGGGGUGUACGAGAUACUGGAUUAUGCAUCUUGUUUCAUUGAGCAUUGUCACUUAUAGGGUAAGUAAAUUCUGGUCCUGUUCUAGUCUUGAUAAAGCUAAAUUUCUUCAUUUAUGUCUUUCACUCGGUGAUAAGAAAGGAUUCCUGUGGAGCAAAAUCAACGGCCAAAAGAACGGAAAGGUCUGUGCAUCAAAAAAAGCCACCAUCCACUCUAAAAGAGGGUGAAGCCGCUAUCACCAUCUGCAGGUGUGCUCCGAAGGAGAGCCACCUCUCUGUUAAAAACACUGCAUCUCUUAUUUUUAUUCCAGAAAUGGCCAGCUUCGGCUACCUCAGCCUCAACUUGGAGCAUUUUACAAAGUGCUUGGCCUGUUUAUAAGUCCCUCAAGUUCAGUCCACAAAGAUGAAAAGACCUAAACGUGCCAGUCACUUUGAAAUAUUAGGCCAAUUUAUACAGUCAGGAACUUAACAGUAAAA